UGGGGAAUAUUGGACAAUGGGCGCAAGCCUGAUCCAGCCAUGCCGCGUGAGUGAUGAAGGCCCUAGGGCUGUAAAGCUCUUUUACCGGUGAAGAUAAUGACGGUAACCGGAGAAGAAGCUCCGGCUAACUUCGUGCCUGCAGCCGCGGUAAUACGAAGGGGGCUAGCGUGGUUCGGAUUUACUGGGCGUAAAGCGCAUGUAGGCGGACUAUUAAGUCAGGGGUGAAAUCCCGGGGCUCAACCCCGAAACUACCUUUGAUACUGGUAGUCUUGAGUUCGAGAGAGGUGAGUGGAAUUCCGAGUGUAGAGGUAAAUUUCGUAAAUAUUCGGGGGAGCACCUGUGGCAAAGGCGGAUCACUGGCUCGAUACUGAAGCUGAGGUGCGAAAGCGGGGGGAGCAAACAGG
rnacentral:rRNA from 1 species